rnacentral:lncRNA from 1 species
AUGGUGUUGGGUUCCGUCGUCGCACAGUUUACUUUGGAGGAGAAGAAUGGUGCCGUCACCAUGGAAGAAAUAGAGGAGUGUUAGGGUUUGUGUUCUGUAUUCGCUUAGAAAAUUAUGGGUCAACAUCCGCAUGGAGUUCGUAUAUCAUAUGCAACAUGUGGCUCGGUUUGGGCUUUAGGUGGUGUGGGCCAUGGAGGGUGAUGUGAAGUGUGGUCUCGGCCCAAGUGUGUUAUGCAACUCACGGCCCACGUGUGUCGAGAAAUCCCGCGACCCAAUUAGUUAGUUUCUUAAAUUACUAGCCUACACAUAUAAAACGUGUAACGGUUCCUUGUAGCUAAUCAGUCGAACAUACGUAAACAAACAUACCCCAUCACGUUUUACAUUUAGCACGUAUAUACGCGAAAGAGAAAUAAUAAUAAAACAUGAUCGCGUGAGUAAGAGACACUAACCUUGAAAGUUUGGGUUGUCACAUCAUCCCCAACUUGAAAGAAAUUUCGUCCCGAAAUUUGAUAAGCCAACACAGAAGAAUGAGGUAGAAGAUUUGGAUGAACUGUGGAUUUUUUUUUUUUUUUUUUUUUUUUUUUAGGUGCCACAUCAUCCCCAACUUGAAAGAGGAAUUUCGUCCCGAAAUUCACCAGUAGUACCAGAGUUAGAUUGGUCAUCAGGAAAAAGUU